UACGUAGGUGGAGAGCGUUGUCCGGAAUUAUUGGGCGUAAAGAGCGCGCAGGUGGUUGAUUAAGUCUGAUGUGAAAGCCCACGGCUUAACCGUGGAGGGUCAUUGGAAACUGGUCGACUUGAGUGCAGAAGAGGGAAGUGGAAUUCCAUGUGUAGCGGUGAAAUGCGUAGAGAUAUGGAGGAACACCAGUGGCGAAGGCGGCUUCCUGGUCUGUAACUGACACUGAGGCGCGAAAGCGUGGGGAGCAAACAGGAUUAGAUACCCU
rnacentral:rRNA from 1 species